rnacentral:rRNA from 1 species
AUGCGCUAUGAUGAGCGGUACACACCGUAUGUAAGGGAGGCAGGACUUCUCCCUUUCAUUCAGUUGGUCCGCCGGUCGACGCCACCCAACAAUGCUGCAGCACUCACCGCGCUUAUUGAUCAUUGGAGGCCGGAGACACACACUUUCCAUCUUCGAACCGGGGAGAUGACCGUGACGCUCCAGGAUAUUGUUAUGAUCACCGGUCUUCCUAUCGAUGGGAAUCCUUUAUGUAUGAACACCGAUUCUGAUGGGUGGCACACGCAGAUGCAUGCCCUUAUCGGUAUGGUUCCUCCGGAGCCUCGGGAACCAGAAGCAGAAGACAAGAAGAAGGAAAGAGUCGCAGACUAUGUUUGCUGA